UACGAAGGGGGCUAGCGUUGCUCGGAAUCACUGGGCGUAAAGCGCACGUAGGCGGAUCUUUAAGUCAGGGGUGAAAUCCCAAGGCUCAACCUUGGAACUGCCUUUGAUACUGGGGAUCUCGAGUCCGGAAGAGGUGAGUGGAACUGCGAGUGUAGAGGUGAAAUUCGUAGAUAUUCGCAAGAACACCAGUGGCGAAGGCGGCUCACUGGUCCGGUACUG
rnacentral:rRNA from 1 species